rnacentral:lncRNA from 1 species
UCCCUAGGUGGAGAAGACAGGGCUCCAAAUGGACUUCCAGUCCCAUCCACGUCACAGAGGCAAAUUGUCAGAGACAAAGACCUAAGCCGCUUUUGAUAAUGUGGCUACUUAAAACAACUGAAAUAACACAUGUGGUCCCAUUGUGGCCACAUUAGAUUUCUACUGGCCAGCGUGGGACUAGACUCAGGCUAAGGUCCUCCCAACUCAGGGUGUUUCAAAAAGCAAAAGUACCGUGGCUCCAGCGUCAGCAGAAAAACAAGUUAGAAAGACAGGCAGGGGAGGGGGCGAUCCCUCCAACUCCAAAGCUGUGCCAGGGAGACACCGCUCUUGGGGAAGUUGGGCUGCAGCCCCCGCACGUGCUAGGAAGAUAAGUGAAGGUCCCAACACAUCCUGUCCCCUUAGAGCCCCUGGGGCCCAGCAGCCGGGCCCAGCAGCCCGACCCAGCGCCUAGAGCCCAUUCGCAGACAGCGCGCUGAGGCGGCUUGGGCGCCAUGCCCUUUGGGUUACUCAGCUCUUCAGCCUCCUGGAACGCUAGGACAAAGGAGUGCCUUGGUGCUGGCAGAAGCCGGGGGGCACAGCUGGGUUUUACAAGGAAGGACGAAAUCUCAUCUCAGCAAUCGGGAUAGAUCAACCGUUGCCCGUCUGAGGUGACCCAAUUCAGGGACCAGCCGCUUGGCUCUGAACACACACGUGUCACAACCCCAGCUCGUACCCAGGCCUUGCUAGAGCUCCAGGUUUAUGAGCCGUAACUCAGCAGAAGCCUAGCAUGAGAACAACUCAUCUGAAGCUCCAACAUUUGGGGAAUGCAACCUUUCGACAGACAUUUGCUGAAUGGAUAGGAGACUCCUGAAAGCAGAAUUCUGCACAUUCUGUGGACCAGCCCUGACUACGGAGAGCAGGUGUUAGCCAGUAUCCAUGCGCAGUGCCUCUUAGUCUUACCUGUCUGCUGCCUUACGCAAGCAUGGAGCUUAAUAUGCUAGCUGUGUUCUCCUAACCUCAGAUAUCUGUAAAACCAGCCACAGUAAGAUAACAUGGUAGAGCACAAAAUGCUUAGAAGAGAUUUAUUUGAAGCAAUGCUUCCCAGAAGUUUUUCAAUGCAGCUUAUGGCGAGAAACACAUUUUACAUCUCUACUCAGUACGCAGCCACUCAUACUCAACUGAAACAUCUUCUGAAACAAUAUUUCACUUCACUCUCUGCAAUACAGAAAAUACCAGAUCGUAUUGUAUGUUAUUUCAUUGUUUUAAAAUCCUGAGCCUAGCUUGCUAAUAGAUUACAACUCAGUUUGAAAAGCACAGGCUAAGGGGCUUCAAAUAGGGGUGACACAUUGAACACACACAUUUAUCACCUCUCCCUUCACAGAUCUCAUUAAAAUGAUAAUAAAGGAACAAAAUGGCAGAAAUCCACAAGGACAAACAGCAAACAAGAGGGACAUCAGCAGAUAGGCAACCUCAACAAGUAUAUCACAAUGAGUGACACACCCCCUAUAACAGCCAAUUUUGAUGGUCCUCCCAUAGCUCUUGCCUUAUUCUUUGUAAUAGGAUUCAGAUUGUUUAAAAUCCCCAUAUUCUACCGCAAAGUCAUGUUAUCAGGAAAGACCAACCCUAACCCCAGUUCCAUGGAGUAAAGAUUAAUUAAUCUAAACUCUAUUAAUUGUAUUCCCUUUAUCUGGUGAUAAGUUUAAGAGCUGAUCCCUUAAUUUUGGACAUGGGAGCACAAGAGAAACUCACUCAAGACUGGGAUUAAUUGUAGGAAAUAUUUCACAGUUUCCACAAGUCAGAAGAGCUAAUCCCAACCCUCUGUAUCUGGAACAUACACUGCUGCCAUUUUCUGCCCAUGAAGGGAAAUACCCAAGGUACUCUGGCAGAACAGAUUUUUGAAAACUUGAGUCCCUGAUGAUGUAAGUCAGCCACAAUGUUAAUCAACCCCAGAGCCACCUUAUUUCUAGACUUAUUAUGCAAGAUAAAAAAAAUCAACUUGCAGUAUGAA